GCGGGCUAGGGGAGCUCGCGGCAGUGGGGUGCGGGGCAGGAGCGGGCGCGGGCCCAGGAGGUGCGCGAGGACACAGAGGGAAGAAACGCGUUGGAGAGGGGACCUCCUGCAGCCGGAGCGGGGCCGAGACUAGGCCCAGGCGCUUGGGGUUGGGAUCCGGGGUGUGUAGGAUAGGGACGGUCCGUGGGGCGGGGCAGGAACGCUGGGGGCCGGGCGCCCUGGCUGGGGCCUGCAGGCAGGUGGUUCCUCAGGAGAAACUAAUUGUUGGGACAAAAGGAAUGCAGGAUGCCAGGUUGCCUCUAAAAAGUUGUUCCAAUUUAUCGUUGAACCAGCCACUUCCACAUUUUAACAGUGCAGGAAGAAGCCUACUUUACUACCCCAGCACGCAGGAGGAAGAUUCUUUUUCCUUGCCCAACUACAGCCCAGCCAAUGAGAAACUGUCAUCACUCUUCUCACUUUCCUCCAAUGGACUUUUGUCCAAAGCCCCGGCCCCCAACUUCCCUUUUCCUCCCUAUAAUGUUUCUCUCCUUUGUUCUCUGGACCAGCCAGUGGCUUUGCCAUGGCUUUCGUGUCCAAAUUGCAAUUUCUCUGCCAUUUCUGAAUAAAUCCAU